rnacentral:rRNA from 1 species
UUCUAUUAGAACUAAUUAAUAGUAAAAUCUGCUCAAUGAAACUUAAAUAGCCGCGAUUACGUGCUAAGGUAGCAUAAUAAUUUGUCUUUUAAUUAAAGACCAGAAUAAACGAUUUAACAUUUUAAUUUUUUCCUUAAAUUUAUUUAUUUAAAUUAUUUUAAAUGUAAAAAAACAUUUAUAAAUCAGAAAGACGACAAGACCCUAUUGAACUUAACUUAAGUUUAACUGGGGCAGUUAAUUAAUUAACAUUUUAAUUCAAAACAAAUCAAACUAAUCCAAUAAAAUUGAUAAUCAAGUUACCAUAGGGAUAACAGCGCAAUAUAAUUCUAUAGAUCUUAUUAAAAAUUAAAUUUGCGACCUCGAUGUUGAUUAAUCCUCUAGUUUACGCAAUAGUAAACAAAGAAAGUCUGUUCGACUUUUAAUUAAUUACA